UACAGAGGGUGCGAGCGUUAAUCGGAAUUACUGGGCGUAAAGCGCGUGUAGGCGGCUCGAUAAGUCGGAUGUGAAAGCCCUGGGCUCAACCUAGGAAGUGCAUUCGAAACUGCUGAGCUUGAGUUCUGGAGAGGAAGGCGGAAUUCUCGGUGUAGAGGUGAAAUUCGUAGAUAUCGAGAGGAACACCGGUGGCGAAGGCGGCCUUCUGGACAGCAACUGACGCUGAGACGCGAAAGCGUGGGGAGCAAACAGG
rnacentral:rRNA from 1 species